UACGUAGGGGGCAAGCGUUGUCCGGAUUUAUUGGGCGUAAAGAGCGUGUAGGCGGCUUGGUAGGUCUUGCGUCAAAACCUGAGGCUCAACCUCAGUUCGCGUGGGAAACCACCUAGCUAGAGUCCGGAAGAGGAGAACGGAAUUCCCAGUGUAGCGGUGAAAUGCGCAGAUAUUGGGAAGAACACCAGUGGCGAAGGCGGUUCUCUGGGACGGUACUGACGCUGAGGAGCGAAAGCGUGGGGAGCGAACAGG
rnacentral:rRNA from 1 species